CCUACGAGCGGCAGCCGUAGGGAAUAUUGCUCAAUGGGGGAAACCCUGAAGCAGCAACGCCGCGUGGAGGAUGAAGGUUUUCGGAUUGUAAACUCCUUUUGUUAGAGAAGAUAAUGACGGUAUCUAACGAAUAAGCACCGGCUAACUCCGUGACAGCAGCCGCGGUAAUACGGAGGGUGCAAGCGUUACUCGGAAUCACUGGUCGUAAAGAGCGCGUAGGCGGGAUAGCAAGUCAGAUGUGAAAUCCUAAGGCUUAACCAUAGAACUGCAUUUGAAACUGUUAUUCUAGAGUAUGGGAGAGGUAGGUGGAAUUCUUGGUGUAGGGGUAAAAUCCGUAGAGAUCAAGAGGAAUACUCAUUGCGAAGGCGACCUGCUAGAACAUAACUGACGCUGAUGCGCGAAAGCGUGGGGAGCAAACAGGAUUAGAUACCCCGGUAGUC
rnacentral:rRNA from 1 species